rfam:Neotoma lepida isolate 417 scaffold_3701, whole genome shotgun sequence.
GGAGAGAUGGCUCAAUGGUUAAGAGCACUGGCUGCUCUCCAGAGGACCUGGGUUUGAUUCCCAGCACCC